CACGGUGCCUGUGUUUGAAGACAUAUUUCAGACGGUGCCCCUUUCUCUUCAGGACAUGCCUUAAAGCUGGCAUUCAGCUCAGCAUGAUGUGAUCGGAGGUGACAUCGCAUUGUUUGUGGGACAGGGUUGUGCCUUUACCCCUGGAGAGGAUGCUGAGCCCACCAUUGUGAUCUCCUGCACCAAGGCUGAGCGUGUUGAGGACCAUUCACUGCAUCCCUGAGCUUGGAAAGGAGGACGUGACACCUCAGGAGAAAAGAGGUAACAGACCACGGGACUCUUCUUUUUCUGAAUAAAGUUGGUCUCAGGCUGAAAAGGGGGACCCUAUACCAUGCAAUAAAUCAGGAUUAAACUAAACAGUGCUGCUCAGAAGCCCUCAGCUGCUUUCUCCAGGAUUUCAGUAUGUUGCAGCUUUUCUGUGCCCAGCUGCCUGGGCCUUUUUGUGGUAAGCAAGAGUCUGAUUUAUCGUUUUAUUCUGUUUAUGUUAUUAAUGCCUCUGAAAAUGUUGGAUCUGCCACAUAUUUCUUGGCACGCUCCUUGGAGUAAAUGGCAACUGUGAUGGCUUUGGAAGAUGAUUUGCUGAAGGAUACUGUAUUAAAAUUCUGUUUGGACAUUUGGGCUGCUGGUAUAAGGAUGUGAUAGCCAUUUCCUUCCUGUAAUGAUAUAUUGUCAUGUUAAUUUUGAUGGUAUCUCACUGUAAAAUAGAGGGAUUUGAAAGCCUGCAAUUUGAGAGCCUGGAGUUGUACCUAUCUGUCUGUAUCUAUAUUUAUAUACAGGUUAUUUCUUUUUUCUUUUUCCUCUUUUAAAGUAAUGCUUGCACUUAACAUUUGCUGUACCGAUGAUGAUUCUUUAUUAGGUCUGGAGAAAUUUAGAUGUGUGCUGAUGGUAAACCAGCUUUUUUUGAACUAAAAGGGUUUCAGAUGAGUUUCGUGUUCUUUCUCAGUGUUUUGUUUUUCAAACCAAUUACUGCCCUGCUGCCCACAUCAGGCAGGUUUCAGCCUGAAAGUUCCCUUUGUUGAGCUAAAAUAUGGUCUCUGCUAAAUGCUGAGCAGCGAUGGCUAGAGAUGAAUAAGCAGCAGGUUGCAGAAUUAAUCAAGAAAUCAUUUAGCACCUGCAAAUAAAUACUUGUAGCUGAAGUCUUUUUCUCGGCUCCUGCUUUGUUUUGGCUAGGUCCCUGGCUUCAGAGCAGAGGUGGGAGAGAAGCAGCUGGGAUUUAAGUCUUCCUCCCUUCUCUGCCCCUCUUUGACCUGUGCCCAUGUGCUGCCGCCUCCUCUUUAAGGGAUUAUCUCUGGGCCAGGCCAGGACCUCUGUCCCCACAGAUAUUUGUUCCCUGGCUUAUUUUCCCAGCUGGUUCCACGCGCCACCACUCCUCCGAGGCUCGGGCAGGGGGUGGGAGCGCUCCCCAUCUGCCGCAGCAGCCCUCUAGCUGGUUGGAUUUGUGCUGGAAUGGGUUUUAGAGCAUCCUCACCAUCCCUUCUGUGAUCCUUUUUUGGUGAUCUCUGCGGUGCACCAACCCAUUUCUCCCGCAGCCGUUAAGUCACAGGGUAACCUUGGCAGUGGCUUUACUGACAGGGCUCUGGAGGGUUUGAUGUAGGAGUCCAGCCUUUA